UAACAGUAACAAAAGUUUUUAAAAAUAAAAUUUUGAUCUUUAAUUAUUAUUUUUACAUUUUAAUGCCAGUGAGAUAUAAAAUUUAAUCAGAGCUGGCUAAAUAGUAAAUUUGCUAUUUUGCUGGUGCCGGUCAAAUAGCAAAUUUGCUAUUUUGUCGGUCCCGGUCAAAUAGCCACUGCCUUACAAUAUUACCUUUCUGGUGCCCCCUCCAA
rnacentral:lncRNA from 1 species